GUCUGCGUGAGCAGGCGUUUGGUGUGUUGUGACACCACGGACCCGAGCAGCUGGGGACCAGACCCUACCAUGCUUUACCUGUGCAUAGCUUAGCUGUGUUCGAUGAAAUGAAGAUCAUAAGAGUUGAAACAGUGCUGCGAGUUUGAACCUUUGAGGCCCCUCAGUGGAAGCAACACAGCUCUUUGGCCUUGGCUUCACAUAGAAGGCACCUAAGGAUUGAUCCAUCCGGGGGAAGUUGGUAGUUGAUUUUUCCUCUCCUCCUCACUUAUGUUCAUUUUUCUCUUUCUCUUCCAAUCUUUCCUUCACUUCCUUUUGCUUUUGAUCUUCCCGGCAGCAAGGAUUAACCUUGUGGGACAACAAUGUAGUUUAUACAUACUGGGUUGUAGUAGUAUUAUACCAGUAGUGUUCCCCAUCAACUUUCUUAUAAAGUUCAAGUGCGAUAAGAACCUAUCGUGCCCCACGUGUGGUAUGCUUUAGGUGCAAGGGAACUUGGUGCGAGGGUGAGUCGUGAAGAAUAUUGGCUUGAUGCUCAAGUGGGGGAGGAGUGCUCGUCUCCUCUUCUAGCCCGGCCCUGGUCGUGUGUUUUAUCUUGGAAAUAAUCUGCUGCAGGUGCAAAGGUUAGCCAAGCUCAGAUAGGCAUGGCCCCAUGAGCACGGUUUUCCUGCAUGUAUAGUGCCAGAGGUUGCGUAAUCUAUAGUUUCUUUGAUGUGUUGAAGCAAAAGGCAGUAGCUCCCCUCGGUCUUCACACCUUGCGAUCAUGCCGGCGACACUCAACCACUGCUGCAGAGUGGACGUGAAGGAAGAGUGGGCAGGAAGUAAAACCCUGCUUUUCUUUUUCAUCAUCCUGAGUUUCCUCUUCGCCAUCAGAGACAGGAAUCAAGAUGCAGCUACGGUUCUUCAGUUUUCUUUAAAGCAACCAAUGUUUGCUUGGGUGAGCAAAAAUGCUUCGCACACAUGAUGAACUGCGUCCCGGCUGAAUCACGCCUGGUGAUGCUCUGCCAAUUUUGGGAUUGCCAGUGCCAUUGGUGCUUAAAUCCACGUCUGAGUCACUUAGAUGCUGUGGGUAGAGAGCAACACCUUGCUCCUCCCUAGUUUUGCCAUAGAAUGUCAUUUUGUCCAUGACUAGAAAGAACCAAUACCAUAUUGACUGUAAAAAGGUUGCCACUUUGAUCACAAAAGUGCCACUUUGAUCACAAAAGAGUAUCGGUGAUGAUAACUUUUCUGACUUAAAAAAAUACAGUUGAUUCUUUAGCAUACUCCAUGCUCUUACAUAAAAAAACAACAAAAAAAGGAUGGUGAAUGAACACAACACUCCAGCAAUUGACCCAUUCUGUUGCACCCUUCCCGUACAACAUUUUCAAUAACAGGCAGCUGUUCCAAAUCUCAGAUGCAUUUUGGUCAGGGGGCAUCGGCAUAGCCAGGGUAGAGGGUCGAACACCCCUCCCUCCACCCACCCGAAAUUUUUUGACGAGACCCCCCCUCCUUUGCCACGGAACAGAAAGUUUCAGGAGGGGGCUCCGAAAGGGAGACAUGGAUGAAAGGGAAAGCUUGAAUGUGAAAGCAAGGCAAGGGCUUGUGGCAAUCCAAAGAGGGAGGAGCAGGUUGUCAUGUCACCGUACCUAGAACUUAAGUUUAUCCAGUUUCCCCACAACCGCUGUCCUGUCUAUAGUAGUAACGCUUCCUCGCCUUCUCACGUCACCUUAUCCCUAUCCCCUCCCGUCCCCCCUCUUGUAUGGGCAUUGUUAGUGAAUUGUGGCAAGGCCGUUAUACCGUACCCUCGUUUCGCGACCGUCAGUUCUACCCAUUCUCUGCCCUCUCUUCCCCCUCCUCUCUACCAUUCUAUCUAGCUUCCCUCUGGACUUGGGUGUUGGAGAAUGAUAAGCGCUGCGAUUUCUGUCGUGGUCUUGCAGGGGGUCAUGGGUAAUUACAGCUGUCAAGAGGCUAAUGUGGCAAUGGAUGCCCACGGGGCUCCAGAGGGAAUUGUAUGCAUUCAACGUGGUGCAAAAGUCCAAACGAGUUUCUCGCGUCUUUCCUCUCUGCAAUGCUCCUUCCAUGUAUAUGCACGCUUGAACCAACCCAAACUUUUGAAAAAAAGGGAGAAGCUUUGCUUUAAAAGAAUGCUGAUUUGCGCACGGCAAAAUACAUCACGGAUGGUGGUGCUGGGCCAGGGAAGCUGAGAAACCAACAUAACAAACAGGCGGGAGGGCAGGUAGGAGAAUGGCCUUGAAGACCACGCAUAAACAGAAAUAUAGAAAUGUCAGCGGCCGCUGCACCAUUCAGCAAACCGGUGAAUGUGCAAGAGUGUGAUAUUGACUAACGAAGAAGAAUGCUAAGAAGGGGUGUAGAGUGAUGGAUAUGAGGAGAAGGGGACGUGCAUAAAAGGCGUCAAGAAUGAAGUUGGCGGAUAAUUAUGUGCAUAGGGAGAACGUCUCGUCACUGCCCGAUUGUUCAACACCAGACAGCUGUGGCCAGUUGCCUAGCUGAGGUUCACCUACCACAUCGUAACACAUGUUGAUUGCUGCGGAGAGCCCAUCCUAACUAAACGUCUCGGCAAUUUUCAGAACAGACGGGUGUCAGAAGACACAAUGCUUUCAAAUCUCUCGGAGCUACUGGCCCAUAUUUUACUGAGAACUGCAGUUGCCGUAAUUUUCACAAAGGCUUCUAAACAGGAAGCAGCCCGGCUUCAGACUAUCUGCCUAAUCAGUUCUUGAGCGUGAUCAAAUAGCAAUAUGUGUCGCCAGAUGAUCGCAAGUUACUUCCAAACAUCUCAUCAAACAAGUCGGACAGCAGGUCACCAAAAAUGUGUGCACCCUUACUGCAGGGUAUUCAAGUGCUUCGGACUUAGCCAGGAAUCCAGCUCACCAGAUUAUUCUUGGGAAGCAUCCGGUAGUUUGCACUGCAACAUGACAAAGCCGUUUGAUUUAUUACUGAUUUAACACUGUGACGGUGAUGUGACUGCAUUAACUGAUGGCCACCUCUGCAUGGUUUGUGUGCAAUCAAUCCAUUUGCUCUAAAACAAAAAGGUACUGCAGUGUAAUGGUAGAGACCAUAGUGUCAUCAAGUAAUACAUCAGGCAGGAUUGUGGUUGUCUUCACAGAUAUGUUUAACAGAUUGUAUAUGUGUAUGCCACUUUCACUGAGAGAACCUAAUUUGUCAAGCACCAUAUUGCUUUCACUGCACUAAAGCAAAAAUGAUGAUGAAAAAAGUUUACACUAUUUACAAAUGACUGAUAGACACACGCAGACACCGUUUCUAUUGUUAUGUUGGCAAUGAUUUCAAGUAGUGCAUCGAGUUUUUAGAGGUAUCAGUGACCCUCCUGGACUACAGUGCAUGUGUUACUGGGCUGCACGGAUUACCUUGUAGACCUGUCUGUCCCUGUUAUUUGUAUUGUGCGUUCAAGUCGAAGCGUUCUCAAAAUUCACGUGAGUUGGCUAGUUUCAUUUAUUCUACUGUUUGCAGUGGCACUGACAGGGAAAGAAUUGUUUCCUUGAUGCACGGAAGUGUGGCGGUAUUCUCAUUCACCACCAAACGCUAUGCCAUUCUCCCCUCCAUGAAAUAUUUUUUUCACAAUGUCGUUCAUACUAUUUCACAUUCAUUUCUUUCACAUGCUUUCAUAUAUGUUACUAUAUCGGUUUGUACUUUUGUUGUGCUGCAUAGUACAAAUAUUGUGCUGCUUAAAAAGUGUGUAGUAAGUAGAACCUCAGUGAUAUGUUUUGGGGAAAAUGCAAGAAGAACUGUACAAACUGAUAAAAUGUACAAUCCAUUUGCUAAAAAAUUUGGCACACUCAACUGUAGUUGACGUCUACGUUAUGUAAAGUGUGGCACGAAUCAUUGCAGCACAAGACGCUGAUGCACACAGAUCUGGUUGGGCCAGAGCGACCCAAGAUGCGCGUUGUUCUUGUGGCUUCAGCAAGCUUACAUUCUUAUUCCUUGAACUCGGCCUAGAUUCUUUUCGGCGGAGCAUUUUGGUGAGAAGUUUUGGCCCACUUGUCAAGAAUCAUUGCGGCACAAGAAGGUGGCAUGUGUCGUGGUUGUGGGGCCUGAACUACCUCAGACGCAUGCUGUUUUAAGAUGGCAAUGGGAAACAGAAUGAAAUAUAGCUGGUGGGAAAUGCCGGAAUGCAAUGCCUUGAUGCCGUCAAAGUUAAACAUGAUGCUCACUUCGUGCCACCUGCAAAGGGAACGGCGGUGAAUUUGAGUUAUUGCCCAUUAAAGAUGUGCAGUAUGCUUCCCUGCGUGCUGUGAAACAGAUAGGUGAAGAUGCUUAUUGGAAUGCUUUGGAGGAAACAGCUGUGAAUGGCAAAGUGUGACGACCUGCAAGGAGAGCUGCUGGUACUGGACUAUAAAACCGAGGCAUGGUGGCAUUUUCACAUGACAGGUAUUGGCAAGUACUGCGAGAAAGCUGCCGUUAGGAGCACCUACUGCUCAUGAUCACGUGUGCCUCACUCCUUUUGUUGUUUAUAUGGAAUCUAGCACCCAGGAAACAUAUAAGAUAUCAUAAGUCAUAUGUUUAAAUAUCAGUUUCUGUCUUAUUGUGCUGCA